rnacentral:tRNA from 1 species
AUUAUUGUAGUAUAAGUAUUAUAUUUAGUUUCCACCUAAAAGAUUGUUUCAAUAAUA